rnacentral:rRNA from 1 species
UACGGAGGGGGCUAGCGUUGUUCGGAAUUACUGGGCGUAAAGCGCACGUAGGCGGACCAGCAAGUUAGGGGUGAAAUCCCGGGGCUCAACCCCGGAACUGCCUUUAAAACUGUUGGUCUGGAGGUCGAGAGAGGUGAGUGGAAUUCCGAGUGUAGAGGUGAAAUUCGUAGAUAUUCGGAGGAACACCAGUGGCGAAGGCGGUUCUCUGGGACGGUACUGACGCUGAGACGCGAAAGCGUGGGGAGCGAACAGG